GUUUCGUUAGAAUGAUACGAUUAACUUUACUCGGAUGACUAUUUGAGAGCCAUGCUUUACUCGAUGAUGGAAAGUGUCCAUUUUGAAAACAUUUCCUAGUGUCAAUGUAAUCUGCUUUUUCUAAAGGAAUACCAUUGAUAGAAAAAUGUAUGUUAAUUAAAGUAUAAUAAAUAUAUUAAACUACGCAUAUGUACAAUCCUCAAAUAUUCAACGUAAAAAAGUCUGCAGGUUACGUCAUUAUAUAAGCAAACAAUCCGAAGCAAGACAAAAACACUCGUCAUGUAAUGUUUCGAGUUCAUUAAAACAACCAUUGUAUAUUGUAUAUUUUAGGCUUGUUUACUACCAAGUGGCCACUCACUAAAUUAAGAACGACUACGACUUUGCUGCCAAAGACUAGGACAACUGUUGAUACAAGCAAAGAACUUGAGGAUGCAAUCCGAGAAAACAAUUUGGUCGACAAUCAAAAAAUAAGAAAGAAAAUUCGCCCAAGUGUUGCAGAGAUUGUUGUAAUAGCUAUGGUUUCAUUUUCAGUCUCUGUCAUUGCAAUUGCCGUUGUCGUGCUUUUAAGGAUGAGAAGUCGAAGCAUGAUGAACAGAAAAAGAGCAGGCGGACAGUCCUCUGAGAGUGACAAGCCUUCUACAGUACGUGGCGACAACGUAAGCAUGGACGAAAAUCAAAAAGGAUCAGCAAACUCGGCUAACGACAAAGUACCACAACUUCACACCUGUGGCAAUUGUGUACAAGAAACACAAUCUACUGAGCUAAUUAACAAUUAGUAUAGGGUGUUUCCAUUGGUCGCAUGUUGGAAGAAAAUUCCAUAUAUAGUGAAAGGAAUUUAUGUUAAUUUUAUGCUUUGUUGAGCUCUUUGAUGCAGUCCUCCAACAUGGCCGCUUCGAUGUCACCUGCAAACACCAUAUAUUAUAUAUCGAUUUGCAGUUAGUAGUCUAUGCAUAUAAAACUUUGACACUCGUACAAAAUAUUUAUUUUACGUCACUAAUGGCAAUAUCAUAAUAAAAAUUAAAGUUUUGAAUGGCAACUCUAAGAGAGCUUGUUGUUGUUAAAAGACAACUUUCAUGACAAAAAUCUCUUCUCUGUAUAAUACAACUUGUUGAUAUUCAAUUUCAGGAAACAACCUUCAGUUUCUUUGCAGUAUUUGUAAAACUUGUUUGGCCCCUAGGGGUUGAUAUGGGAAACAGCUAUUGCAAGCAACGACAAAUAUGGUCCACGAAUGUUUCAUCAACGGUUAAAAAGUUGUUCUUGUUGGGAUUUGUCUCCCUUGUUUCGCCGAACAAUUCACAAUAAGUUUUGACUGAGUUUAACAGAAACGCUCACACAUCACAAUUACAUGCUAACGUAAGAAAAUUUACUCCAAUAUAAAUUCUUUGUAAAUUCCAGAUUCACUCAAUAGUCUUGAAAAAUGUUACGUAUUUAUGACGAAGAUAUUAAGAGAAAAAUUGUAAACUAAGCAAUUUAGUUUUUUAAGUGUUAAUUCCCUACUGCGCCUUUUGCUAUGUUUGCUGAAUCACUUCCAUAACGUAGGUUCGAGCUUUCCGGAUUGUGAUGAGGCGUUUUUGCUUCCCUACUUCUAAUCUUAACAAAUUGCGAAACAAAAAUAAUUAUACUUCGUGCAAGUUUUGAACAAUCUUACUUCAUUGGAAAAAUUAUACCAAAGUAACUGGAUUGAUCUAACAAUUUGUUGCGUUUCUUGUGUAGCCUGAACACAAAGUUUGAUCGUGCUAUUUAAAUUUCAGAUCAUUAUAUACCAUUAAACCUGAUUGAAAUUUGAAAUCAGUGUCUCUUAGAAGUUAUGAACAGCAAAAGUUUGACUGAGUAUAAAUCACUUUUCCUCGAAAGACAAAUUAAAAUACUUUAUCUAUGAAAAAUUGCAUGCAUGACGCUGUACUUCGGACUAAAGAGAAAUCAUGUGAGCUAUGCUAAUCCAAUCAAUCAACACGCCAUUUUUGGAAAAGCUAGACAAUCCAGUCAUAACAGCGUUAUAAUCUUUGCCAAUGAGCAACAGGCAUAAUAUACAUAUAUAUAUAUAUAUAGGCAUGCAAUGAUUCAAAAGACAACACUCAAAUAGUGGCAACUCUAUUCAAGCAAGUUAUGUUUACGACGCGGGAAACCACUCGAAAAUCGAUCAGCGUUCCUACAUUAUUUAUGUACGCAACACUGUUUUGUUGCGUUGCAAUCAGCGCACUGAAGCGCUGUGAGUUGGGACAAUUCCCAAGUGAAUAUGUGGAUAAUGGAUGCACUCCUUGUCCGAAUAAAAUUGAUAACUGCGAAAAACAAGGAGAAGAUAAAACAGCCUGUCUUAAUUGGUGUCGCUUGUUUACUACCAAGUGGCCACUCACUAAAUUAAGAACGACUACGACUUUGCUGCCAAAGACUAGGACAACUGUUGAUACAGGCAAAGAACUUGAGGAUGCAAUCCGAGAAAACGAUUUGGUCGACAAUCAAAAAAUAAGAAAGAAAAUUCGCCCAAGUGUUGCAGAGAUUGUUGUAAUAGCUAUGGUUUCCUUUUCAGUCUCUGUCAUUGCAAUUGCCGUUGUCGUGUUUUUAAGAUGAGAAGUCGAAGCAUGAUGAACAGAAAAAGAGCAGGAGAACAAUCCACUGGGAGUGACAAGCCUUCUCCAGUACGUGGCGACAACGUAAGGAGCAUCAAGAUUCAAACCGAAUCUUCUAGCUCCACUAUGAACAUGUCGGAGCAAUCUCCACCAAAAAAAGGUGUGCAAGAAUCACAGACGCGAUAGAUGGUGAAGGAACAAGGUGGUGAACAUGAACAGUCAAUACCUACAACCGAGGUCUCCGAUGUAUGUUAAGUUAGCAAUAGAGUUCGGGUAUAUAUUAUCACAAAUUAUAAUUUGAGCUCUAUAACUACAGAGUUGAUGAUUUUCGUAUAAAAACAGCUUUAGGUUUACUUGCAGAUGUUUUGCUUAUGAGCUGAUUUCUGGAAUUCGGUUUAGAACGAGCGUAUAAUGAAUAAAUUCAUUUCAAACUAA